rnacentral:rRNA from 1 species
GAUGAACGCUGACAGAAUGCUUAACACAUGCAAGUCAACUUGAAUUUGGGUUUUUAACUUCGGUUUGGGUGGCGGACGGGUGAGUAACGCGUAAAGAACUUGCCUCACAGCUAGGGACAACAUUUGGAAACGAAUGCUAAUACCUAAUAUUAUGAUAAUAGGGCAUCCUAUAAUUAUGAAAGCUAUAAGCGCUGUGAGAGAGCUUUGCGUCCCAUUAGCUAGUUGGAGAGGUAACGGCUCACCAAGGCGAUGAUGGGUAGCCGGCCUGAGAGGGUGAUCGGCCACAAGGGGACUGAGACACGGCCCUUACUCCUACGGGAGGCAGCAGUGGGGAAUAUUGGACAAUGGACCAAGAGUCUGAUCCAGCAAUUCUGUGUGAACGAUGAAGUUUUUCGGAAUGUAAAGUGCUUUCAGUUGGGAAGAAAGAAAUGACGGUACCAACAGAAGAAGUGACGGCUAAAUACGUG